CUAUAUACAGGGUCAGGAGAUACAGUAUGUAUAUAGGGGUCAGGGGACUAUAUACAGGGUCAGUAGAUACAGUAUGUAUAUAGGGGUCAGGUGACUAUAUACAGGGUCAGUAGAUACAGUAUGUAUAUAGGGGUCAGGUGACUAUAUACAGGGUCAGGAGAUACAGUAUGUAUAUAGGGGUCAGGGGACGAUAUACAGGGUCAGUAGAUACAGUAUGUAUAGGGGUCAGGGGACUAUAUACAGUAUGUAUAGGGGUCAGGUGACUAUAUACAGGGUCAGGAGAUACAGUAUGUAUAGGGGUCAGGUGACUAUAUACAGUAUGUAUAGGGGUCAGGUGACUAUAUACAGUAUGUAUAGGGGUCAGGGGACUAUAUACAGGGUCAGUAGAUACAGUAUGUGUAGGCGUCAGGUGACUAUAUACAGUAUGUAUAGGGGUCAGGGGACUAUAUACAGGGUCAGUAGAUGCAUUAUGUAUAGGGGUCAGGUGACUAUAUACAGGGUCAGUAGAUACAGUAUGUAUAUAGGGGUCAGGGGACUAUAUACAGGGUCAGUAGAUACAGUAUGUAUAGGGGUCAGGUGACUAUAUACAGGGUCAGGAGAUACAGUAUGUAUAUAGGGGUCAGGGGACUAUAUACAGGGUCAGUAGAUGCAUUAUGUGUAGGGGUCAGGUGACUAUAUACAGGGUCAGUAGAUACAGUAUGUGUAGGCGUCAGGUGACUAUAUACAGGGUCAGUAGAUACAGUAUGUGUAGGGGUCAGGUGACUAUAUACAGGGUCAGUAGAUACAGUAUGUGUAGGGGUCAGGUGACUAUAUACAGGGUCAGUAGAUACAGUAUGUAUAUAGGGGUCAGGGGACGAUAUACAGGGUCAGUAGAUACAGUAUGUAUAGGGGUCAGGUGACUAUAUACAGUAUGUAUAGGGGUCAGGGG
ensembl:lncRNA